AAUGUUGACGCAAUCUAUAAAUAGUGGAACAAAAGGACCAACUUCCUCGGAGCUUUGCUGAAACUGCACAAAAAAUCGAGCUGGGGGGUUCCCUGGUCCCCGAUGUUGGGGCGGAGAGCGCGGCGCCGAGGGAGGGGGCGGCGCAGACCGGCCUAGGGGACACCUGGUCGAGCGCAGCCGCCGCUCCGCUCGAGCCCUGCGCUCCAGUGCCCCCACUGGCUGGAGAGCUCGCCCAGACCGGGGGUCUUCCUCCGUCGCUGACAGUAUCUGGAUUUAGGCUUUCUAAUUUGCCGACGAAUUACUGCAGCCUCUCCUGGAAACUCCGAGAUUACUGAAAGCCUGUGGUGUGAACUAUUUUACAAGCUUAAGGGGACAAAUGGAUUGGAUUAUCUUGAUUCACCAGUUGUGAGAAGCAACAGAUAUGGUGAGUCUGUACAUAAAACUGGACAAAUGAGGACGCGGGUUGGUUGUUCCUAGCAUCUCUGGAUAAAUCGACAAAGGAAAGGAAUGAGCUCUGUGAUUACAAAACAAAACAAAACAUCUAGCAUUUUGAAAUAUGUUGGAGGAAAAUGAACCCAGUGAUUAAAUGGUCAGCUCCAGAUGCACAGAAGCAGUCUAAAGGUUUAUAAGGGUGCCCUGGAAGUGAAUCUGCUCUCCAGCAGCCAUUACAGCUCCCAUUAUAGAAAAAUCAAACUGAAGCCCUCGUUAUAAGGUUAGCCAAAUUACAAUGAAAAUUCAAAUCAUAGCAUUUGGAGGAUAUCAGCUGUUAAAGUAAGGGCAUUAACUGGUAAAGCAUGGAUCCUGUAAUAAGGGGAGGAACUCUAUGGGAAUGGGAGGGUCCUAUUGAAUCUGAGAUCUCUGAACCCUGAGAUUCUCCAGGGUUUUAUCUCACCUGAAGUCUGCAGCCUCAGCAGAUGUACCCCUGCCCUCUCUCCCACCCCCUGAAAUACUGCCUUUUCUGACUUUGACUAGGGAAGUUAAUGCUUCGUCGUCUGGUAACCCAGCAGUGAGUUUCUCUGAGAAAAAUGACAGGUGAGACAUUACUGCUAUCCCUCAGUACCCACCAAUAGUUGCCUCUAGAUCCAUAGCCAAUUAAGACUGAGCAGGCCCCGGAGGGGAGCUAGAAAGUAGUCCAUGAGGAGGGGCGCUAUACUACUAAAGAGCUGAAGGAGUGUUAAUUUAUUCAGGCAGAGAUCUGGAGAAUAUGUGUGGGAAUGGAUUUCAAGGCUGUUGGAUAAUGGUGAAAAGAACAUAAAACUGGACCCAGAGUUUAUUAAUAUGGGCCCAGUGGGUUGAGAUUCAAGUUUAAUAUGGGAGUAAGCCAGUAAGCAGCACCCUUCCUUGGCCCAUGCAUCAGCUCCUGCCUCCAGAUUCCUACUCAAUUUGAGUCCCUGUCCCAACUUCCUUCAAUGAUGGAUUAUGAUAGUGUAAGCAAAAUAAGCCCCUUUUCCCCUCAACUUGCUUUUUAUCAAAGCAAUAGUAACUCUAACUAGGGCUCCUGGCUACAGAAUUACUACACAUUAACAAAACACAAGGGCUGGAAAGAUGGCUUAGCAGUUAGUAGCACUGACUGCUCUUCCAGAGGUCUUUGAGUUCAAUUCCCAGCAACCAUAUGGUAGCUCACAACCAUCUGUAAUGGCGUCCAAUACACCCUUCUGGUGUGUGUCUGAAGACAGCUACAUUGUACUCAUAUAAAUAAAAAUAAAUAAAUCUUUAAAAAAAUACUUUACAAAAACCAAUAACAUGAAAGGAAACCGGAAGUGGGACCAUCUAGUUCUUGAUGACUCAAAGUCUCAGAUGGAGUAAGAAUUGAGGAAAUCAUUUCAAAGUAGCUACCUAAUGAGUGUUUUCUUUUUUCAACUGAGUUCAAGUCUACAAACUGAGUUGCAGAACAACCAGGACUACACAGAGAAACCCUGUCUC
rnacentral:lncRNA from 1 species